AUUGAACGCUGGCGGCAGGCCUAACACAUGCAAGUCGAACGAGUGGCGGACGGGUGAGUAUGUCUGGGAAACUGCCCGAUGGAGGGGGAUAACUACUGGAAACGGUAGCUAAUACCGCAUACCAUCGGAUGUGCCCAGAUGGGAUUAGCUAGUAGGUGGGUUAACGGCUCACCUAGGCGACGAUCCCUAGCUGGUCUGAGAUGAUGACCAGCCACACUGGAACUGAGCCACGGUCCAGACUCCGACGGUAGGCAGCAGUGGGGAAUAUUGCACAAUUGGCGCAAGCCUGAUGCAGCCAUGCCGCGUGUAUGAAGAAGGCCUUCGGGUUGUAAAGUACUUUCAGCGAGGAGGCUUUGCGCUCCGAAGAAGCACCGGCUAACUCCGUGCCAGCAUCCGCGGUACUCC
rnacentral:rRNA from 1 species